GAAACACGGACCAAGGAGUCUAGCAUGUGCGCGAGUCAUUGGGACUCUGUUAAACCUAAAGGCGCAAUGAAAGUAAAGGUCCGCCUCGCGCGGACCGAGGGAGGAUGGGCCCGUCCCCGGGCGGGCCCCGCACUCCCGGGGCGUCUCGUUCUCAUCGCGAGAAGAGGCGCACCCAGAGCGUACACGCUGGGACCCGAAAGAUGGUGAACUAUGCCUGGUCAGGACGAAGUCAGGGGAAACCCUGAUGGAGGUCCGUAGCGAUUCUGACGUGCAAAUCGAUCGUCGGAACUGGGUAUAGGGGCGAAAGACUAAUCGAACCUUCUAGUAGCUGG
rnacentral:rRNA from 2 species